GACGAACGCUGGCGGCGUGCCUAAUACAUGCAAGUUGAGCGCUGAAGGUUGGUACUUGUACCGACUGGAUGAGCAGCGAACGGGUGAGUAACGCGUGGGGAAUCUGCCUUUGAGCGGGGGACAACAUUUGGAAACGAAUGCUAAUACCGCAUAAAAACUUUAAACACAAGUUUUAAGUUUGAAAGAUGCAAUUGCAUCACUCAAAGAUGAUCCCGCGUUGUAUUAGCUAGUUGGUGAGGUAAAGGCCCACCAGGGCGAUGAUACAUAGCCGACCUGAGAGGGUGAUCGGCCACAUUGGGACUGAGACACGGCCCAAACUCCUACGGGAGGCAGCAGUAGGGAAUCUUCGGCAAUGGACGAAAGUCUGACCGAGCAACGCCGCGUGAGUGAAGAAGGUUUUCGGAUCGUAAAACUCUGUUGGUAGAGAAGAACGUUGGUGAGAGUGGAAAGCUCAUCAAGUGACGGUAACUACCCAGAAAGGGACGGCUAACUACGUG
rnacentral:rRNA from 1 species